ACAUGCUUUCCACAUAGCUUUAAUGCACCAAAUCCCAUUAGAACUUCGAAGUUAAGCACACACAUGCUAGAGUAGUACUGGGAUGGGUGAUCGUCUGGGAAGUCCUAGUGCUUUACAUGCC
rnacentral:rRNA from 1 species